CAACUAUUCCCUCCAUCCCAAAGUUCUUGUCUUAGAUUUGUCUAGAUAUGGAUGUAUCUAAUACUAAAAUGUGACUUGAUACAUCCGUAUCUAGACAAAUCUAAGACAAGAAUUUUGGGACGGAGGGAGUACUUU
rnacentral:pre_miRNA from 1 species